rfam:Chaetomium globosum CBS 148.51 scaffold_6 genomic scaffold, whole genome shotgun sequence.
GGGAUAAUAGUAUAGUGGUUAGUACUUCUCGUUGUGGUUUGACACAGCGAUCCGAGAGGACCCAGGUUCGAUUCCUGGUUAUCCCA